GGCCCGGAAAAGCCUGUUUAGUCUACCUCGUUUAAGCGAGGAAAUGUUUAUAUUUACAUUUCCUUUUCUUUUGUUUCUUUUUAUUUCCUUAUUUCCUCUUCUUAUUCCUCACCUCGCCGAACCCAAGCCAUCCCCGCAACUCUUCCCUUCUUCUUCCCGACGCCGUGCCCUAACCGUCGGUCCGGUGGUUUCUUCCUCCCCGGAGUCUGCCCAAGCGCCGGCGAGCGCGAGCCACUGCUGGUCAAGCCGUCGGCUGUGCCCUAGUCUCCUUGUCGACGGCGCCGACACCCAUAGAAGAUUUCCUCUUCUCUGCCGACGCCGAAACCAAUUCUCCUUCCCUUCCUGCGACGCCGACGCCACUGCCGAUCCACCGCAGGUGCGUCUGUGCCCUAGUGUUUCCACCGACGCCGAGCAGUGCCGGCCAUCUCUCCUCUUCCUCCAUUUCGAGAUUUUUUUCUAGCCGAUUCUUCUCGGACGCCCUCUGCCCUAGAUUUGGGCCACAGCCGACCAAGCUCCUUGCCCUGAAUCUGCCGAGCCUCACUUUCAUCUCUUCUCCUCUGCCCUAGUUUUCCUGGUGUCGUUGUCUUGGUACCACACUGCCGCCGGCCAUCAGGAUCAGCCGAGUUCUGUGUGAUUUGGAGGUCACGGAUUGGUGUGGUUUGGUUGGGAAGGGACUGCUGAUACAGAGUUGAGAUUUAGUAACUUUGUGAUCCCCAGCAGCGGCUCUGAUCUUGUUUCAGCAACCAACGUCUUUGAUUUUGGAUCAACAGUGAUACAUACGAAUUGAGGACUUUGACGCGAGACGAGUAUCUCGGAGUCAGAUUGGACCUUUCUAUUUUCGGAGG